AACUCUUUGAAUUCUGUUUAACUGCCUAAUCCAUGAAAGAAUCAAACUGCAAAAACAUUAUCUUGCUUAGACUUGGUGAAUGAAGCAAAGAUCCCUGAAGUUAAUGGGAGUUUUGCUGAACUAAGAAUAAAAGUUCCAUUACCAUAAAAUACAGAAGCUGCAGCUUCCCUUACUUAAAGACUCAGCAGUGAAGCACACAAAAAUCACUGUUCCUAACACCAAGAUCAUGCAAGUUGGUGACAAAGGCAUAGCUGUCAAAAAAAAGGCCAGUUUCACUGCCUAAAUUAAUCUCUAGAAUCAUGAUGAGCAUGGUGGAGAUGGAGCACAAAAACAAUUCAUUAUGACCAAAAAUCUAUCAUCUACAAGACUCCUACCUACUUGAGUGAGUAUUUUGUUUAAUUAAGGACUGAGAAUUUGACCCUUAUUUAGCAAAGCUGCUUAUGCUUUUUAGCUCGUUUAAGAGAAGAACUCUAGAGAAAAUUUACAUGAACUCUUAGCUCAAGAACUCUAUCUAUCCUCUAUGCAGCAAUAAGGCCAAUUAGCUAAGCAGUAGGAUGAAUAUAUGUUAGUCUCCCAAUACAAUACCUGAGAAAAACAAUGAAGACAAGAGGACAAAACCAGAUCAGUACAUCAUAAUGGUAGCUGACUCUCGAUCAAUCAAUAAAACUAUUAAAAAGAUGACCAAUAUCUGAGGUUACCCAAAAGGGCUACAAGGCAUACCACCAAACUGGAGCAGAAAAGCUACAGAAAGAAAAGAAUGAGAUGAGGGUUGAAAAAUACACUAGACUGUUUCCUGGUUGAAGAGGAUAUGAGAAAAUCUGGUGAGAAUGGGAUGCCCUAUAUUCCACCUAUUCACAGAUCUAACUGCAGUACCUAAAGCCUCACAAAAGGUAUUGCUAUCACUUCUGUAAAAUGGACAACAAACUGCCAACUCCAAAUAUCCUUCCAAAUCACCUAAAUCUAAAACAAUACCUCCUGGGCUGCUUUAGUUGUUUAUACAUAGGGAAGAGUAUGUACUUAUGUUGACCUAUUAAGUGCGCUGCUGCUUCAAAAGAUAUUCUCUAUGAAAUCCAGGAAAAUACUCUAAUUUAUUGAUGUAUGGAACAUUCAUACUACAUUACACUGUUUGUUUACUUCAUUUAAUUUAUGGCAACUUCUGUUUAUUUCAUUUCAGGUAGGAAAAGCAACAUGAUCCUCAUUUACUAACGGUCCAAAAACCUGUGCCAAAUGAGGCUCCUAUUCAAAGCUAAGCUAUUCUUGGAAGAGUAAACAAUUCUCACUCACUAGUCAAUUCUGACCAUGCCAAAAGAACUGCUGCACAACCAAAUGAGAGGGAAAAUUAUAUGAGGAAAUAAGAUAAAACAAGUAAUUCAUCACACACUCAACUUGCACUGAUCAGGAGGCAUGUUCCCAGACCUGGAGCUCAGGUGUCGGACUCUUAUUCACACUUCAUUUUCUUGAUAACUGUACUGCUAUCUGGACAAAGAACUACAAAAGAAGCUAACUCCACACCAGAGGACUAAACACACACGGUGGAGAGAGAGAGAGAAAUGCAUUACAGAAUGAGAGAUGCUCAGAGCAAAAGCAGCAGUACCUGCAGCCCACAGGAGGGAACAGCAAGAACCCAAAAGCCAGGAAGAAAUCUUAAACCCUGCAAGAUUCCAUCACCAACCCUAAAGUUUCAGUUGAUACAUGCAGUCUUGCAUAAACACUGACAAGGCUUAGGUUAACUUUAUUACUGAAAUUGAUUUUACUUCAGUAUUGACAUAUUGUUGGAUCUUGACGUCUAUUAAUAGCUUCUUCUGUUAAACGUUGAAUAUCUGAACACCAUAUUCUUGGUAUUGCUGACCAAGCUAAAACUUUUAAUUUAAGAUCUCUGGACUGGGUCUUCAUUUGAUGUAAAUCAGAAUAGUUCUACUGACUUCAAUAGAGCUAUGCUGAUUUAUAACUGAGGAUCCAUCCUCAAUUUUAAUUAACUACAUGUCACAGAUCACUCAUUAAAUGAAGUGAGGGUUUAAAAGAGAUUUUAAAUUGAGAUUUUUAAGCAAAUACUAUUAAAGUGUCUUAUUUUAAAUGACUGAAUAAAAGCUCUCCUCUCAGUUACUGAAUUUCAUAGU